GGAGCCUGGUAGGCUACAGUCCAUGGGGUCGCAAAGAGUCAGACAUGACUGAGUGACUUCACUUUCUUUCUUUCUUUCUAUUUGAGUACUAUUUUAGUCUUAAUUUCUAAAAUUUCCUUUGAAAGUACAAUAUCUUUAAAGUUUAAGAGGGGGGAGAAGCCCUGCCAAUCUAGAAUUGUUUACCCAGCAAAGCUAUCUUUCAAAAACCAGAGGUGAGAUAUAAUUGUAUUCAUAUGAUUGCAAGGUUCUUACCCUCUACAGGAAAUGAUAUAUCACUUGAAGGUAGACUGUGAUAAGUAUAUAAAUCCUAAAGCAACCACUAGAAUAACACACAGAGAUAUAGCUAAAAAGCCAAUAGAGGAGAUAAAAUGGCUAGCAUACACAGGCCCCAUAGCCCCUGGCUACACAGUAGCUGUGGUCUUAGUGCACAGACAGCAACUGAACUGUUCCCUCUGUGGGAACAGACAAGCUGGCCUGUCCUUUCCUGUGGCCUGUAGGUGACUCCCUGCAGUCAUCAAGAGGCUGUAUGUGUGAGGGUGGUGAAGUGCCACUGUUUCCAGAGACAGUAACCCAGGUCUGCUCGUAUGAGUCACUGCUCUCCACUCGACUUGCUUGGCUAGAACAGGGUUGUAUACCAGAGGGCCAAGAGCCUCCCAGAACCGUGCAGGACAUCCUGUGUCAUUAUCCAAAUGAGCACUGACCAUUAACUGGUCAUUGUCUCCUUUGUUUGAUUGUUAUUCAUGGAUACAUCUGUUGACACGCUCCACAAAUUUAGUGUAACCCUCACACACUAGAAAUGGUGACAGAGAGGAGAGAUUUUUCUGGUUAUAAAGAUGAGAGCUGUGUACACUUGUUAACUUGGAAGAAUUUCUUAAAUUACUGCCCAUAACCACAGAUGGUGGCAGGACCACAUGCAGGGAAAAUUAAAAUAAUUGCAUCCUCUAGGACUGGCAUUUUUCUGGGGAAAUUAAUUUUGCUUUCAAAAAACACACAGGCGAAGGUCAUUAUGAUGUAUCUAUGUAGGUUUAUGAAUUGUAACAGAGUACCCUCUGGUGGGGCAUGUUGCUGGUGGGAGAGGCUGUGUGGCGGAGUUUUGCUGUGAACCUAAAACCACCCUAAAAAUCAAAGUUUAUUUUUAAAAAUUAAUAAUAAAAAAGUAGACAAGGCACGUACUUUCUGAGUGCACUUCUUCCCAGGCGAUGUUCUUCUGAUUCUCGAUAGUAAGUCUGUUUGCCAAUUUCCCUUUCCCAGAAGCGUUUGAGCUCGUGACAGGUGUUCCGGCAGAAGACCUCCCGGCGGACGUACUGAUUGUUCAUCCCCUGAAAAAGUAAAUAUCGACUGAACCCCCACAGAACAUGCUCGCUUGUACUCUGGAAGUGUCUGUUGACCUUCACUGAACUUGGAGUCACUUGGGGAGCUUUACAAAAAAUGGAUGCCAGGGAGUCCUCCUUAAGGAAUCUAAUUUCAUCAGCCUUGAAAAUGUACUGGGUGUCAGGAUUUUUAAAACUUCCUCCUGUGAUUCUAACGUGCAAGUCAAGGUGUAAGGUGAGAAUUCAGAGGGAAAGAUGAACCCCAGUGGCUGAAAAAGACAGGGUUACAAGAACUCUCUCCGUUCACUCUACCCUGAGAAGGGCAAGAUGAACUUCCAUCCCAUGUACACUCAAGUUCAACAUCCUUUACCUUUGUGAUGAAUCUGCUGCUGUCUUGAUACAGUGUCAGGAGGAACCAGAUCAUGCAGUGGAGGUUUCCUCAUCAGGGAAAAGAAGGAGCUAAGCAUCACCUAUUCAAAAUGGUAGCAACAGCAACGCUGAUAUCACUGGACUGUAUGUAAAGGCCAGAAGAACAAUGAGCCAGGCUGGGGAACUUCAGCUGAGGAAUGUAGAUGCUACCAAGCUCAGCACCCAAUGGCUUCUGAUAAAACCCAAGUGACACUCUGGCAGAAGUGGAGCCCUUACCCGUUCAUCAACAAGUCCUUAACAGCUGGCUGCAACAAGCAUCUUGUGCGAGGGUGCUGAGUCACUUCAGUUGUGUCCGACUCUUUGCGGCCCAAUGGACCAUAGCCCGCCAGGCUCCUCUGUCCAUGGGAUUCUCCAGGCAGGACUACUGGAGUGGAUUGCCAUGCCCUCCUCCAGGGGAUCUUCCUGACCCAGGGACUGAACCCAGGUCUCUUACGUGUCCUGCAUUGACAGGUGAGUACUUUACUCCUAGCGCCACCUGGCUGGCAGGAUCUGCUUCCUGACUGAGGGUCAGACCCACACCCCCUGCCGCAGAAGCACAGCAUCUUAACCACUGGACCACCAGGGAAAUCCCACAACAAGUAUCUUAAUUUUUGCUGAAUCUGUUUGUGAAAAUACUAUCCCGUUGUUGUUUGGAUUUGCAUUGUUAUGUUUACUGAAUGCUUGUAUGUCUCUUCCUAUGAACUGGCAGGUGGGUCUGAGAGGGCAUUUGAACUGGAGUUUCCCUCAUUUUGUCAACCCUGUUGUUAACGACCAGUUUUCUUGUCUUUCACCAGCCCCUCUCCUUAUGCCUUAUCCUCCACACCAGGAGAUCUGGAAACCUGGUCUUCUGGAAAUCUCACCUCUGCAAACCUCUAGAGCAGUGUCUGUCUGUCUGUGCUGGUUUCCUUUUGGCUGAAUCUUGUUGUCUGCCGCCUCUGUGGCUGACACAUCACCUUUCCGCCUUACUUUCUAAAUGAGAAGGUGGGGUGGGUGUGGACUAGGUCUUUGAGAAGCUCCAAAGGAAAACAACUUGCGCCCCCUAGCCUGAGCUAGGAAAUACAACAAAAAAUACUCCCCGCAGACAACAGUGAAGGAAAAAAUAAGUGAAUCUUAAGUACUCUAAGCCGUGCUGAAUUCUAGGCAACUUAUUCAAGAGAGGUCACAAUGUACAAGACGAAAUAGUCUUGAUGCAGUUACCAGAAACCAUGUUAGGGUAGGGGGAAUUCUGAUUUAGACUUCUAAACAUGGCUAUGGUUUAGAAUUCGCACCAAAAUUUUUCUCUUUUCAGUCAAAUUAGUCAAAUAGUUACUCUGCUCAGCACACUAGAGGAGACAGGAUCUCCUAGAUUGGACUCCUGUUCCUUUCUCACUUCCCCCAGAAAAGAUGAGCCCAGUAAUGUAUUCCAAGUACCAUUUUAGUGUUAUCAAAAAAACUGCUGAUGGGGAAGGAGCCAUCAUUUCCUGAUGGCCCCGUGACCAGGUCAAGGUCAGUGGCCCCGGACAGACAGACAGAUAGAUGGGCAGAUAGACUUUUUGAAGGGACUUGGGAAGGUGAGCUGGGGUCCCACUUGGUUUCACAAGAUGUGGAGGAUCUCAUUUUAAAGUGCUUCUUAAGUGGAUUUUGUAUCAGAUUGCAUUCAGGCAUGCUUCACAGCUCUUAAUGGUUUUGAAAUGGGUGAAAUGCAAGUGGAGGGACGGAGGGAGGCCAAAGUGCAAAACCCAGGCUGUAUCAGAGAUGGGUUAAAGUGCUCCAGGGAGAAGAUUUCCUGUAUGCAAAUGACCCUGGGCACUUUGAGGUGCUCCCCACUCUGGAAACAGUUGAUCCAGGAUAGAUAUCUGAAGUACGGGAACUGUGAAUAAAUGAUGUUCUACUAAGCCACUGAAUUUGUGAGAAUUUGAUAUAGCAAUAUAAGAUGAAUAGGUAAGAAUUUUUUAAUGAAAUAUGUUUUACACUAAUAAAAGUCUACAAGUAAUUAGGGUUACAGGUUAGUGAAUUAUUCCAAAGUCAGAACCAUGGAACCACAACCCAGGUCAAGAAGAAAAAUAUUACUAGAACUCCAAAAGUCCACUUCCUGCUUUUUCACAACCACCACUCACUCCCUCUUCCUCAGAGCUUUUACUUUUUAAAUUUCUAAUCCCAAAGGUUGGGUUUCCAUGGUUUUGACCUUUUUAUAACCAUCAGCAUGCAUGUAUAUCUGCUUCUUUUUGCUCUUCCUUGGUGAGAGUAAUCCAUAUUGUUUGUAGAAGCUUGUUCAUAUUCAAUUGCUGUAUAGUGUUAUUUAACUUAUAUGCAGAGUACAUCAUGAGAAACGCUGGGCUGGAAGAAACACAAGCUGGAAUCAAGAUUGCCGGGAAAAAUAUCAAUAACCUCAAAUAUUCAGAUGACACCACCC